rnacentral:tRNA from 1 species
GGGAUCGAUACCCCGCAUCUCCAUUAUUAUUGUUGACAAGAAUAAGGAAGGAGAAGAGAAUGGGGGUUAGAUU